rnacentral:tRNA from 1 species
GGGAUGGUGGUGCAGUGGCAGCAUCCCCGACUGCCAAGCGGGAGACCUGAGUUCGAUUCUUAGUCAUCCCU